rnacentral:rRNA from 1 species
GACGAACGCUGGCGGCGUGCCUAAUACAUGCAAGUCGAGCGGACCGACGGGAGCUUGCUCCCUUAGGUCAGUGGCGGACGGGUGAGUAACACGUGGGUAACCUGCCUGUAAGACUGGGAUAACUCCGGGAAACCGGGGCUAAUACCGGAUGCUUGAUUGAACCGCAUGGUUCAAUCAUAAAAGGUGGCUUUUAGCUACCACUUGCAGAUGGACCCGCGGCGCAUUAGCUAGUUGGUGAGGUAACGGCUCACCAAGGCGACGAUGCGUAGCCGACCUGAGAGGGUGAUCGGCCACACUGGGACUGAGACACGGCCCAGACUCCUACGGGAGGCAGCAGUAGGGAAUCUUCCGCAAUGGACGAAAGUCUGACGGAGCAACGCCGCGUGAGUGAUGAAGGUUUUCGGAUCGUAAAACUCUGUUGUUAGGGAAGAACAAGUACCGUUCGAAUAGGGCGGUACCUUGACGGUACCUAACCAGAAAGCCACGGCUAACUACGUGCCAGCAGCCGCGGUAAUACGUAGGUGGCAAGCGUUGUCCGGAAUUAUUGGGCGUAAAGCGCGCGCAGGCGGUUUCUUAAGUCUGAUGUGAAAGCCCCCGGCUCAACCGGGGAGGGUCAUUGGAAACUGGGGAACUUGAGUGCAGAAGAGGAGAGUGGAAUUCCACGUGUAGCGGUGAAAUGCGUAGAGAUGUGGAGGAACACCAGUGGCGAAGGCGACUCUCUGGUCUGUAACUGACGCUGAGGCGCGAAAGCGUGGGGAGCGAACAGGAUUAGAUA